GACCGAGCCCCCCUGACCCUGCCUGACCGGGCCUCCCCUGCCCCGCACUGGCAGCACAGCUCAGCCCGUGUGCUGUCCGAAAUCCACUCACACUCUGCUGCUUUUCAAGAAGGGACGACUGAGAUGGGACCUCAUCAAUGUCUAUGAGUUUCUGAAUGGAGGGUGGCAAGAGGACAGAGCCAGGUUCAGAGCAUCCAAGCAGAUGAAAAUAUCACUGUCACAGGUGGUGCCAAAGUCCUUUCUGGAGGGACCUGGGGCCAGCUUGUCUGCAAGCAGCCAGUGAUGAUGAUGCAGGGCUAAGGCUAACUGUGCAGCUCACAUGGGAGUUAACCAGCCACUGCGUGAACAUGUGCUUAGGUCUACAUUCAACCUUAGUGAGGGGCCCAAGGUUUUUUUCUUCCUGCCGUGUCCAGUCCAGGUCCACAUCUAAACAUCUGGUCAGCUGAGCAUUGCUGCAGGAGUUCUUGGCUCCAGUUUAGGGGCAAGACUGUCCAUAUAAAGGAGGCAUCCUAGAAAGAGUUUAAUCAUCAAUUUUCGUGUUACCACAUGAAAAAAACAAACCAAACCAACAAAACAAAACAAACAAACAAACAAAAAUCACAAUGAGAGACUGUC